AGAGCGGUUCAGCACUCCACGGGCACCAUACCCACGUCAGAAAAUUCCCUAUCACCGCACGAUGCGUUCCGCAACAAGACCAUAGGGACAGGAAAAAAGAGGAAGUUGAACACGUGUUUGAAAGUUGAAGACACAAAGGAAAGCGUAGAGACGCGCAUUAACAAAGAAAAAAGUAUUGCAGAGAAAAGUGAAAGUUUGAGAGUACAAUAUCUGAAAGAAAAUAAGGGCGAAAAAGGUAAGGCAAGUAAGCCAAGAAUUGUGGAGGAGGUUAUUCUUACAGUAAAGAAAGUGGUAAUAGAAAAAGGGAAAGGAAAAAACACAUAUAUAAAGGAAAACCAGGAAGGAAAAUCUGAGAGAUACAUGGACGGCGGUCCAACAUAUAAAGUCAAAGGAAAAGAGGAAAGGAACGACAAAGUAAAAUAGGAGUUUCACGGGUAUAUUAAAAGUAUUAGGAUAGUGAACAAAAUAAUCGCUGAGGUUACGUUUAGAGACGCGUAUAACGGUAUGGAAACAUAGAAAAAUCAAAGAAAAAGAAGAAAAGACUUGUGUGUACAAAAUCCCGCGAAGAGCAACCGGAAGGUGGGGGGUUUGCAGAGAGUGGGACUACUCACCCAAGGAAUUAAUAGAGCUAGCGGAAGAGGGUCAAGGUAUCAUCAGUGCGGAAAGGCUGAAAAAACGUAUAAAAACUGAAAAGGGAAUAGACUAUAAAGAGUCGAUGUUAGUGCUAGUGAAGUUUGCAGGUGAUACGUUACCUACCAGAAUAAGUCUCUACGAGGGUGCGCUCAACAUCAACAUCGAUCCAUAUGUCAAAGGAGUGAAACAAUGUUUCAAGUGCUUAAAGUAUGACCACUUUAAAAAUAUAUGCAGAGCGGAGGACAAAAAGUGCUUCAUCUGUGGGGAGAAUUACCAUGGGAGGUGCAACGGUGUGCCAAAAUGUGUGAAUUGCGGCGAAAGCCAUGGAUCAUUGAGCAGAAUGUGUCUCCACUGGCAGAUGGAAAGCGCCACAAAUAAAUUGAUGGCUCAUAAAAACAUAGCCUUCAGCGAAGCAAGAGAAGAGAGAAACUUCCCAAGCUUACCUAACAGGAGAAUGUACAGAGAGGAAACGUGGGAGGACAGGCUGUGUCCCAUUAAGAAAAACCCUUGGGAAAGGAAAAUCAAAGAAAAGGAGGUAACGUUUGUAAAUAAGAAUAGAUACAAUGUUCUCAACGACGAAAAUGAGGGUUAUGAGCCAGGUAACUGGGAGGCGAAAAACUUAGAGACGGGAACAAGAUACCAGGAUCAUAGCUACCAAAUAAACAAAAAAACACAAAAACCAAAAAGAGAAUUCUCAGAAGACGACAUCGAGGCAGUCAUAAGCUGGAUCACAAACUCCAACAUGGAGGAUAUCAUUAUAAAUAGAAUUAAUAGAAAUAAAAAAAUAUACCAUCCAAGGAGAAUAGAUUUGGACGACUCGGAUUAUAAACCAGCAAGAGCAAAAAGAGAGUAUAUGGAAGGUAGAAAAGCAUGGGAAAGAGAGGAUAGAGUGAGGAAAGAAUUGCCUAAAUACGCCCCAAUUAAGGAGGUCGAGAAUAACAGAAAAGCACUAGUAAGAAAAAAUCAUGAGAUGAUAAGGUCAACUUUCAGGAACGAGAAAAGAUUUGGAAGGACAUAUAGCAGAAGGCCGAGGUUUCCGAACGUGAUACCUAGGGAUACGGGGAGAGACGAGGAAGAAAAGAAGAAGGCGACAAAGAUCGCAAAGGAAAUAGAUGAACUAAAACCAGCCCAGAUCAUAGGUAGUUUGGGAUCAGAAAGAGAUGCAAGGGAUGCACAAGAAGGAAAAGAACAAGAAUCGAACAUCAGAACAAAUGUGAUGUCGGACGAAGAGUGGGAAGGUGAAACACCGAUAACCGAUAAAAAAGAAGAAGAAGAGGAGACGACGCUCAUACACGAUGAGAAUAUGGAGGAUCUACUGAAGUUCGAAUCCAUUGGGGCCACGGUAGAGGUGAUAGAAAUCAGCACGGUAGAAGAAGGAAGCCCGUCAGAGGGACAAGCGAAAGAAAACAAGGAAAUGGAAAAUAACGAGUACCCGGAAGACGGGGAAGAAUGGGGAACUCCGCAACAGGGAAGAGAAAGAUUAUGUCGAAUUAUGUAAAGAUAGGCUUUUGGAACGCGAAUAGCAUUAUGAAUAAAACAAUAGACUUAUUAAAUUGUAUCGACGAAUAUGAUGUGAUGUUUGUAUGCGAAUCAUGGGUAGAAAAAAUACAAGAAAAGAAUAUUAAGGGAUACUUAGUAGUAUAUAAUAAUAUUCCGGAAUUCGAAGGGAAAAGAAGAAACGGAACGUCAGAAAUCCAGGUAGCAAUUUCACCAAGGAAAAAUGGAAAUACUUGUUUGAUAAAAUGAAUAUUAAGGAUAACACUGUAAUAAUAGGAGAUCUAAAUGCAAAGCACACGAGUUGGAACUGUAAGAGGGAAAACACGUCAGGAAGUGCAUUGGCUAUAGUAUUAGAAGAAAUAGAAAUGGAAAUAGUUAACACAGAAACAAUAACUAGGAUUGACCUUAUCAUUACACACCCAUAUAUGUCAGGUAACUUAACAUACUCUGAGUCUAACAUUAACCUAGGAUCUGACCAUCAGAUAAUUAACUUAAUAUUAUACGCAAAUGAUAGUAUAGGUUUAGAUAACUAUCGCAGCAAAUUUGCGAGAAAAUCUGGCAGACUGUAUGAUAAAAAAGACAAUGUGAAUUGGGAUAAUAUAAGGGAAGAAUUAGAAAGGAAAAAGGAUAAAAUAAUGGAAGAAUUCAAGAAAGCUGAGGAUAUAGGAAACAAAUAUAAGGUAUGGGUAAGCAAUAUCAAGGAAGUAUUUAGACUAGUUAAGGGAAAGGAAAGUAGGACAAGUAAUAGACAGGUAAACAAUCGAGACAACAUACUACAGAAUAAUAACCGAAAAGGAAGGAAUCAUAAUGAGAGGAAACCGAACAAUAAAAGGAUGCGAACAAUAAAAAAUUCUGGUGGGACGAAGAAUGCAGAGUUGCUUGGGAAGCGUGGAUACAAAGUAGUAAGAGGCUAUGGAAUGCAGGGAAUAUGGAAGACCAUAUUAUCAUGGAACAAAAUAGAAAGAGAUGGAACAAAAUGAGAAGAGAAAAGAAAGAAAAAGCAUAGGAAGAAUUCACGGAUCAAAUUUCCAAAGAAAACGACAUAGGCAAGAUCUGGCAAAAGGUAAGGAGUGUAAAAAAUUACUACACCAAGAAAAAAUCAGCUAUGAAUAACAAAACUAGGAAAGAAUUAGAGAAAAAAGAAAUAGAAGAACUUAAAAGGAAAAAUUAUGAACUAAACAAUCCGUUCAUAGGAAUAGAAACAGAAAUCAAAGAGUACAAUGAAGGAAGGGAAUCUAUAUGAUCCAAAAAGAUAGAAAACACGGAAAUAAUGUUAACAAUCGCAUCACAAAAAGGCAAAAGAUCGGCACCAGGAAACGACGGGGUGGAUUACAAGAUCAUAAACGAAUUACCAGGGUUCAUGAGAAACGUGUAUUGUGAAUUGAUAAAAGAGAGCUGGAACAGAGAAGAAAUUCCGCAGGAAUGGAGAGAAGGCCGAAUAUGUUUCCUGGAUAAACCGAAUAAAGCUGCAUUGAGACUCAUCACACUUACCUCGUGCGCAGUAAGAUUUUGGAGAAAAUAAUUAACAGAAGGUUGUCAAUGUGGACGGAAACUAAUAAUAUAAUCCAUGACACGCAGUCGGGUUUCAGAAAUAAGAGGUCGACUCUGGAUAACUUGAAUAGAUUAAUAACAGAAAUCAAGUACAACCGAAUGAAAAAUCUGGACUCGGCAACAGUGUUCGUGGAUAUCAAAGGACCGUACGAUAAUGUCGACUUCAAGAAAUUGAUAGAGAUACUCAUGAAAUUGAAGUGUCCCGAAAAAAUAGUAAAGUGGCUUAAGGGGGUAGACACGGCACGUUACCUCUCCGAUUCGGAAGGUCGGUAUUACAGCAGCUACUCUCUGCAUAAUGGUGUUACCAUUAAAUAUGCGGUAGCGGAGGAAAACUAGAUGGAGCUGCUCGUUAUUGCCAUACAGUAUAGUUUCUUCUCAACAACAUAUACUGUAUACUUCUUCCUUCAGUGAUUCUAAAUGCUCAGCGUAGGAAGUAGUAGUAUUCUGUUCCACGCUGCGUAUUACGCUUGUGUAGUGCGGUCACACUUCACCAUCACGCGUGCAUAUACAAAUAGGAGCUAGGUUGGGGGACCCUCGGCGCCGCUGCGGCGCCUCGUGAGUUGCUCCGCGCUAUCGAGACACGUCUCCGACACGAGGCUCCUUUGAAGCGUUUACCUACUCCUCGAUUAGAAUUUUUUAAAAUUAAAAAAAACUUUGACCUUAAAUUUUGAGGUCAUAAUGGAUUUUGAGGACGGUGACCAAUAAUUUUUAUAUACCCUGCACACCCUGAUUUCAUUUAUAAAAAUAAAGAAGUUUAACACGGCUUCCGUUUCCGGUGGUUUUAGCGAGUGAAUGUAGAAAAGGUGUGGGCAGGGAAAAGUGAAGAAGUUGGAGUGAAGGAAGUGAGAAAGGAGGUGCGAUAGUGGGUGUAAGGGGAAAGAGUGUAGGGCGGAUGGUGAGUGUGUGAAGGGAGAGUGAAGGGAGUCGCAGGAAAGUGUCAGGAAGAGAAUGAUAGUGUGAGAGAAAAGUGAGGUUAGGAAGAUUAGAGGUACGAUUUGAGAUAGCAAGGGAGACGAAGGAAAGACGCGGAGAAGCAAGGGGAAUAAAGGGAAAGAGAGGAAAAGGUGGAAGGAGUUAAGAGAAGAAAGGGCUGGUAAAGGUGAAGAAGGGAAGUGGCCGGUACGGUCAGGAGGAAGAGGUAGGGUGAGGAGAAGAAAGAGA